UGGAGAUCCUGCUCCGUCGCCCCAGUGUUCAGACUACCUGUUCAGGACAAUGCCGUUGUACAGUAGUCUGCACAUUGGUUAGACUGGGCAAGGGACAGCA
rnacentral:pre_miRNA from 1 species